rfam:Schistosoma mansoni strain Puerto Rico chromosome 2, complete genome
GAUGAGGAGUCCCAUAAUAGGACGAAACGGCCGUCC